UGACAGUUGUUUGGGCGCACUGCCUCUAAAGU
rnacentral:piRNA from 1 species